rnacentral:rRNA from 1 species
GACGAACGCUGGCGGCGUGCUUAACACAUGCAAGUCGAACGGAAAGGCCCUGCUUUUGUGGGGUGCUCGAGUGGCGAACGGGUGAGUAACACGUGAGUAACCUGCCCUUGUCUUUGGGAUAACUCCAGGAAACUGGGGCUAAUACCGGAUAGGAGCUCCUGCUGCACGGUGGGGGUUGGAAAGUUUCGGCGGUUGGGGCUGGACUCGCGGCUUAUCAGCUUGUUGGUGGGGUAGUGGCUUACCAAGGUUUUGACGGGUAGCCGGCCUGAGAGGGUGACCGGCCACAAUGGGACUGAGGUACGGCGCAGACGCCUACGGGAGGCAGCGGGGGAGAAUAUUGCGCAAUGGGCGGAAGCGUGAGACAGCGGCGCCGCGUGCGUGAUGACGGCCUUCGGGUUGUAAACCGCUGUCGCCUGUGACGAAGCGAGAGUGACGGUAAUGGGUAAAGAAGCACCGGCUAACUACGUG